GACUAGUGAUGAUCUGAUUUUGCCAGAUGACUUAAGCUGAUUAUAACCCUUACCGUUCCACUUUUUUCUGAGGUC
ensembl:snoRNA